CAUCCUCCAAGGCUAAAUACUCCUGACUGACCGAUAGUGAACCAGUACCGUGAGGGAAAGGCGAAAAGAACCCCGGCGAGGGGAGUGAAAAAGAACCUGAAACCGUGUACGUACAAGCAGUGGGAGCACCCUUCGGGGUGUGACUGCGUACCUUUUGUAUAAUGGGUCAGCGACUUAUAUUCUGUAGCAAGGUUAACCGAAUAGGGGAGCCGGAGGGAAACCGAGUCUUAAUUGGGCGUUAAGUUGCAGGGUAUAGACCCGAAACCCGGUGAUCUAGCCAUGGGCAGGUUGAAGGUUGGGUAACACUAACUGGAGGACCGAACCGACUAAUGUUGAAAAAUUAGCGGAUGACCUGUGGCUGGGGGUGAAAGGCCAAUCAAACCGGGAGAUAGCUGGUUCUCCCCGAAAGCUAUUUAGGUAGCGCCUCGUGAAUUCAUCUCCGGGGGUAGAGCACUGUUUCGGCUAGGGGGCCAUCCCGGCUUACCAACCCGAUGCAAACUGCGAAUACCGGAGAAUGUUAUCACGGGAGACACACGGCGGGUGCUAACGUCCGUCGUGAAGAGGGAAACAACCCAGACCGCCAGCUAAGGUCCCAAAGUCAUGGUUAAGUGGGAAACGAUGUGGGAAGGCCCAGACAGCCAGGAUGUUGGCUUAGAAGCAGCCAUCAUUUAAAGAAAGCGUAAUAGCUCACUGGUCGAGUCGGCCUGCGCGGAAGAUGUAACGGGGCUAAACCAUGCACCGAAGCUGCGGCAGCGAACGUAUCACCCAAGACAACUUUACGGAGUUGACGAUUGACGGAGCGAAGCGACGUCAAAGCGUUCAUUAAAGUCGAGUUGGCUUAGGGAUACGUUCGUUGGGUAGGGGAGCGUUCUGUAAGCCUGUGAAGGUGUGUCGUGAGGCAUGCUGGAGGUAUCAGAAGUGCGAAUGCUGACAUAAGUAACGAUAAAGCGGGUGAAAAGCCCGCUCGCCGGAAGACCAAGGGUUCCUGUCCAACGUUAAUCGGGGCAGGGUGAGUCGACCCCUAAGGCGAGGCCGAAAGGCGUAGUCGAUGGGAAACGGGUUAAUAUUCCCGUACUUGGUGUUACUGCGAAGGGGGGACGGAGAAGGCUAUGUUGGCCGGGCGACGGUUGUCCCGGUUUAAGCGUGUAGGUGUGUGUUCCAGGUAAAUCCGGUUCACUUUAACACUGAGGCGUGACGACGAGGCACUACGGUGCUGAAGCAACAAAUGCCCUGCUUCCAGGAAAAGCCUCUAAGCAUCAGGUAACA
rnacentral:rRNA from 1 species